rnacentral:rRNA from 1 species
GACGAGGGGUCCUAGCGUUGUUCGGAAUCACUGGGCGUAAAGCGCAUGUAGGCGGCUUUUCAAGUCAGGUGUGAAAGCCCACGGCUUAACCGUGGAAGUGCAUUUGAAACUGUAAAGCUUGAGUAUGGGAGAGGAUGGUAGAAUUCCUGGUGUAGUGGUGAAAUACGUAGAGAUUGGGAAGAACACCAAUGGCGAAGGCAGCCUUCUGGGCCAACACUGACGCUCAUGCACGAAAGCGUGGGGAGCAAACAGG